rnacentral:rRNA from 1 species
GAUGAACGCUGGCGGCGUGCCUAAUACAUGCAAGUCGAGCGAACAGACGAGGAGCUUGCUCCUCUGACGUUAGCAGCGGACGGGUGAGUAACACGUGGAUAACCUACCUAUAAGACUGGGAUAACUUCGGGAAACCGGAGCUAAUACCGGAUAAUAUAUUGAACCGCAUGGUUCAAUAGUGAAAGACGGUUUUGCUGUCACUUAUAGAUGGAUCCGCGCCGCAUUAGCUAGUUGGUAAGGUAACGGCUUACCAAGGCAACGAUGCGUAGCCGACCUGAGAGGGUGAUCGGCCACACUGGAACUGAGACACGGUCCAGAUUCCUACGGGAGGCAGCAGUAGGGAAUCUUCCGCAAUGGGCGAAAGCCUGACGGAGCAACGCCGCGUGAGUGAUGAAGGUCUUCGGAUCGUAAAACUCUGUUAUUAGGGAAGAACAAAUGUGUAAGUAACUAUGCACGUCUUGACGGUACCUAAUCAGAAAGCCACGGCUAACUACGUG